UUACAGAAUGGAGGAAAAUUAUUGCUAAUGGGACCCCAGUAAUAGUCAUCACACCCACAUUUCCCUCCACUACCUCCUCUCACAUUCAGGUUAGAUGAUAAUUCUAUGCUUUUCUGGGAAGAUAAGGAGUUCAAGGUAAUGCAUUUCAACAGGCUUGCAGUCCCACUGGCCCAGCUGGAUGUCAGUGUUAGCAUGGCGUGGGCUGCUGAAGAGCGCUUCAAAAUAGGGCAGAGGCAGUGGCAAAACAACUAGCUGUGUUAUUCCAAAGCCAUCCGAGCAAAUUACAUGGAAAGACCUCAGCCAAGGAGAUGCCUACCUGGGGAUACAGCCUGGAAACUCAAAACACAUCUGCAGGGUGCAAGGGAAGAUGGGCCUCAACGACUAUCAGGAUGGACCAAGACUCUCACUUGACAGAUGGAGAAAUGGGACAAGAUGGGAUAGUUGGCUCAUGCAAGCUCAGUGACAGAGCUGUGAUACCAGUGGUCUAUCUCUGGAAGCUGUCUGAGGGUAGGGAUCUUGACUAUCUUGUCAAUCACUGUAUCCCUGUGCCCAGUGCAGAGCCGAGCACAGAGAACGAUGCUGAUGAAAUGAAUGAGCGACCUUGUUCGAGUUAUUUUCCUCCGGGAACCUCAGGGCCAUGAGCUGUGAUGGCCUGACCCGGCCUUUCUCCAGCGCUGUCAGGAGGACUGGCCAAACCUGCAGAGGAAGAGCGACCUGCACGGCUCCUGGCAGGGCUUUGGCUCUCAGAGCCCCGGUCCCCUUGCCUGCCGCACGCCUGCUAGGAGCCUCCCAGGACCCUGGGAGCUGAGCUGCAAUCAUUAGCAACAAGCCAGAUCUCUGAGAUUCUUGGAUGCCAGAUGGAUACUUUUACUUCCUUUUCUUAUUAUUUUUGCUAUCUUUGCAAGGUGCCAGGGUCCCCUUGUGCUAAUAGCUCUGGUGGGCUCUGUGCCUUCAUCUUAGAAAACACUCUCACAGCUUCCAUGCCUGGUCGUUCUUAUUACCUGGCCUUUGCCUCCCUGUCCACCCGCGGAGCCAGUGACAGCCCCACAGUAUCUGUCCCAUCAGUGCCCACCAAUCACACUGACUUUGGCAUCCAAUUAACUUCCUUGCCACCACCAAAAAACCCAUGAAGUCAGCGUUAAAAGAAUGAAAAAGAGGUGCCAGGAGCAGGAGAGAGAGCCUGGUGGUAUAGAGUCCGCAGAGAAGGCGCAGGGACCAUGGACUUGAGUCGCCUCAGGAAGGGACUUCAGCAGGGACAGGCGUAAAGCCAGCAGCUUUCCGUAUUCUUGAGUGUGACCCACAGUGAGAUGUACAUCUUACAUCACAGCCCAGUGCCUGUGGUGCCAUCACAGGGGCCAUGGGAGGAAGGGUUUAAUGGAGCACGUCUUACUC